GAGGCGCUGUCUACGAGUCGGG
rnacentral:snRNA from 1 species